UUAGUUGGAUCAAUAAAGCAAUUGGGCCACCUCGACUAGAGAAGUUGAUUGCUCCAAGGUUGAUAAGUUGCCGAAUAUAUCCUUCACAAUCGGAGGAAAACUUUUUCCACUCACCCCGAGAAAUUACAUAGCCAUACAUAGUACAGGACCUAAAACUGAAUGCUUCAGCCGAUUCUUGGUGGCCCACCGCUGGUUUUUGGGUGAAGCAUUCAUGCGGCCAUACCAUACAGUCUUUGAUUACCAAGAUAGUAAGAAACCAAGAAUCGGCUUUGCUGUAGCAGCAUAAGUGAUAGAGAACGGAAGCUAAUAACAGAGGAGAACGCAAGAUUUUCAAAAGAACUCAGGUUCACGAACAGAUUUUGUCGAGUACGAAUGAAUCCAUCAUCAACGAUAAAGAUAGAAUUGAGAGUCCUCCCCUCAAGGCUCUGUGAACGAAAGCUUUUAAGAUUUGAGAAUCCUCUUCUCGGAAC